rnacentral:rRNA from 1 species
AUGGUCUUGCUGGAGCCUCGCUUGCAGUCGAAAGUCAUCAGCUUCAGGGAGUGUCGGCACAGCCAGAAUAGACGCCACCUUCAGUGGGGAGCAACAGCAGCAACUGCGAGGAUUUGGCUCGCCGAUACGAGCAACGGUGGCGCCAUACCCCCUUCCGCAGCUCCGAGCUGCUGGUCCGCCGAGAUGCAGAUGGAGCCGACGAGCCGUUGCGCCUCCAAGCUACCGGGCCACCGAGAUGCAGAUGUAGUCGCGGCCCCUCUGAGCUGCAGCGAGAGCUGCUCCGCCGCCAAGCUGCAGCGCCAACUAUUGUGCUCAUCCAACAUAGUGAAAUAUUUUCAGGUCAACUACACUGAAAGCAAACUAAAAGAUUACAUUGACCCAGAUUAUGAUACACUCAGGCUUGCAAACAAUGAUCUACACGCCAAUUAUCGCAUCAUGCUAGGAAAUGACAAGAGACCCACCAUGACAACCAACUGGUCUGAGUUCCGCCGCUUUGCAAAAAUCCAUGAAGGAGACAUAUGUGCCUUUUGUUUCAAGGUCACCACAAAGCGGCGACUAGCUCUCAUCGUGCAUUGCCUUUAG